rnacentral:lncRNA from 1 species
AGGGGAACCGAUGCGGCUUAGGUUUUGGCGCCAUUGCAAUCCUUGUUCCUUUAGAAACGGAAUGGCUGGCCUGGCUGCGCUCCUUUUGAUGACCGCAAGGCCUUGCCUGACCGGCUGGCUGGCUGGCUGGCAAAUAUACCCUCUCUUUCUUUCAUGCCAUGCCUGUUCCCUUGACUAACAUUUUGAUGCGCACCACUAGCUAACCUGCAUGCCGCGCCUAGUGUCCACUGAUGAACACAGCAUGCUUAGUAUCAUUUUGUUUACCUUUUCAGGCCCCCCUCUUUCUUCCCCACUUGGUAACCUUCUGUAUUAUGCAUAUGCUGACAGCGGGGUGAAACAAUGCGUGAAAACUAAGGCCACUCAGUGCGCGACCCCAUCUCAUCCGUCCUAGUCCGUUUGGAGUUAAACAGACGAAUAGGGCGACCCAACGGACAACCCUAAACGGACAAAUGUCCGGUUUUCGUCCGUUUUCGACCCAUUUCCGGCCCAAACAUGUGCCGCGUUUAGGAUGAAACGGAAAGCGCGCGGACGGACGGGUUGCACUCCCUUGUCCUCCCCAUGGCCCGUCUGUCGGGGACACUAGCGCUUCAUUCACCUCCAACGCCUC